GACGAACGCUGGCGGCGUGCUUAACACAUGCAAGUCGAACGGUAAGGCCCUUCGGGGUACACGAGUGGCGAACGGGUGAGUAACACGUGGUGAUCUGCCCUGCACUUCGGGAUAAGCCUGGGAAACUGGGUCUAAUACCGGAUAGGACUCCUGGCUUCAUGGUUGGGGGUGGAAAGCUUUUGCGGUGUGGGAUGGGCCCGCGGCCUAUCAGCUUGUUGGUGGGGUAAUGGCCUACCAAGGCGACGACGGGUAGCCGGCCUGAGAGGGUGACCGGGCACACUGGGACUGAGAUACGGCCCAGACUCCUACGGGAGGCAGCAGUGGGGAAUAUUGCACAAUGGGCGCAAGCCUGAUGCAGCGACGCCGCGUGAGGGAUGACGGCCUUCGGGUUGUAAACCUCUUUCAGCUAUGACGAAGCGCAAGUGACGGUAGUAGCAGAAGAAGGACCGGCCAACUACGUGCCAGCCGCCGCCGCAG
rnacentral:rRNA from 1 species